UACGUAGGGUGCGAGCGUUGUCCGGAAUUAUUGGGCGUAAAGGGCUCGUAGGCGGUUCUGUCGCGUCGGGAGUGAAAACUCAGGGCUUAACCCUGAGCCUGCUUCCGAUACGGGCAGACUAGAGGUAUGCAGGGGAGAACGGAAUUCCUGGUGUAGCGGUGGAAUGCGCAGAUAUCAGGAGGAACACCGGUGGCGAAGGCGGCAUCCUGGACCGGUAUUGACGCUGAGGCGCGAAAGCCAGGGGAGCAAACGGG
rnacentral:rRNA from 1 species